CUUUCCCUUUCCAUCGUCUCUCUCUAGUUUUUCCUCGGAUCACCUCCUUCUUCCCCUGUUGCAAGGUCCAGGUUCCACUACUUCUUUCUUUGUUUAUAUUCAAACAAUGGGAAGGUGCAAGAGGAUGGGCCCGGAAGUGCUGAGAUAUCUUCAUGCUCAUAAAACAUUAACAGUCAUUCUCUAAAAUAAUUUGGUCACGAAUAUCACAAAGGGAAUGGUUGCUGGAAAUAUCUUCCAAGG
rnacentral:lncRNA from 1 species